rnacentral:miRNA from 1 species
GGGCCUUUCCACGGGUCGCUUUCACGUAAGUCUUGUUUCUGUCUUUAUAAGCGAGGGAGCUACGGGGAACUGGGCU